CGAAGCGGAAAUCWGCUCAAAUUUGAAAUCUGGCUCCUUCGGGGGUCCGAGUUGUAAUUUGUAGAGAGUGCUUCGGGGGAGAGUGCGGUCUAAGUCCGUUGGAACACGGCGUCAUAGAGGGUGAGAAUCCCGUAUGCGACCGCGGCUCGAGCCCGUGUGAAGCCUCUUCGACGAGUCGAGUUGUUUGGGAAUGCAGCUCAAAAUGGGUGGUAAAUUUCAUCUAAAGCUAAAUACUGGCUGGAGACCGAUAGCGCACAAGUAGAGUGAUCGAAAGAUGAAAAGCACUUUGGAAAGAGAGUUAAACAGUACGUGAAAUUGUUGAAAGGGAAGCGCUGGCAACCAGACCUGUCCGUAGGUGAUCAGCCGCUGUUCUCAGUGGUGCACUCGCUCUGCGAUCAGGCCAGCAUCGGUUCUGGCGGUCGGAUAAAGGCCUUGGGAAUGUAGCUUCACUUUGGGGGAGUCUUAUAGCCCUCGGUGCAAUGCGGCCAGCCGGGACCGAGGACCGCGCUUCGGCUAGGAUGCUGGCGUAAUGGUUGUCAGCGACCCGUCUUGAAACACGGACCAAGGAGUCUAACAUCUAUGCGAGUGUUUGGGUGUUAAACCCAUGCGCGGAAUGAAAGUGAACGGAGGUGAGAACCCUUAAGGGCGCAUCAUCGACCGAUCCAGAUGUCUUCGGAUGGAUUUGAGUAUGAGCAUUCAUGUUGGGACCCGAAAGGUAAUGAUCAGUCCUUAUUAUAUUUUAUCGAAUCCAAGCUAAUAGACUUUAUAGAUGGUGAACUAUGCCUGAAUAGGGUGAAGCCAGAGGAAACUCUGGUGGAGGCUCGCAGCGGUUCUGACGUGCAAAUCGAUCGUCAAAUUUGGGUAUAGGGGCGAAAGACUAAUCGAACCAUCGCGCUACAGGUGGUUAAUUAAUGUAUAUCGCGUUCGCGAGUACUUUCAGUCCCUCGGGGCGACAUCACUACUUUGCAUGAACAUAUCUUUGAGAUUGACAUGCUGCAGACCUUUCUUAUCGGGGGUUUGCUCACAGACCAAACAGUGGUGGCCGGGGUUCCCUUUCUUGGGGAACGCCUCAGUUCAGAAAUGGCCGAGUUCUGCUCUUAAGGGAGUUGGUCUCGGGGCCGUGGAYUUAAUUUUYGAGUCGAAAUCCCUCGAUAAAUA
rnacentral:rRNA from 1 species